rnacentral:rRNA from 1 species
UGCGAACGGCUCCGCAAACCAGUCGUAAACCAAAGCAGUCCCCCGCUGGGCCCCCUCUCGGGGGGGCCCGCUUCCUACAUGGAUACCCCUGGUAAUCCUGAGGCUAAUACAUGACUUCAGCCAUCGGCCGCCCUGUUACGCUUCGGCAUGCGGGGCGGUCGGAGGCGCACGAGACACGCUUGACAAUACUGGAAGGAACGUGCGCUUCGACCACCGCUUCGGGCUUGGGGGGCUCCGCCUCCCCUCGCCUGGUGGCGGCUGCGGCGUGCCUCUGACCUAUCAACUGGAAGGCAGCGUAAGGGACAUGCUCUGGUAGCGACGGGUACAGAGGAUAAGGGUUCGAUCCUGGAGAGUGGGCCUGAGAGAUUGCUCAUACUUCUAAGGAAGGCAGCAGGCGCGCAACGUUCCCCUUGGACAAUGUCUGAGGGCGUUAGGGGACAUAUGAAUGGCUGCCUUACAGGUGGCCAAUUCAAAUGGGUUUGUCAUAAACAGGCUCUCGAGUAACAAUUAGAGGACAAGUCUGGUGCCAGCACCCGCGGUAAUUCCAGCUCUAAUAGCAUACGUUAAAGUUGUUGCGGUUAAAACGC